GACGAACGCUGGCGGCGUGCUUAACACAUGCAAGUCGAACGGAAAGGCCCUGCUUUGGUGGGGUGCUCGAGUGGCGAACGGGUGAGUAACACGUGAGUAACCUGCCCUUGACUUUGGGAUAACUUCAGGAAACUGGGGCUAAUACCGGAUAGGAGCUCCUGCUGCAGGGUGGGGGUUGGAAAGUUUCGGCGGUUGGGGAUGGACUCGCGCCUUAUCAGCUUGUUGGUGGGGUAGUGGCUUACCAAGGCUUGGACGGGUAGCCGGCCUGGGAGGGUGACCGGCCACAUUGGGACUGAGAUACGGCCCAGACUCCUCCGGGAGGCAGCAGUGGGGAAUAUUGCCCAAUGGGCGGAAGCCUGAUGCAGCAACGCCGCGUGCGGGAUGACGGCCUUCGGGUUGUAAACCGCUUUCGCCUGUGACGAAGCGUGAGUGACGGUAAUGGGUAAAGAAGCACCGGCUAACUACGUG
rnacentral:rRNA from 1 species